ACAGAGGUGGCAAGCGUUGUUCGGAUUUAUUGGGCGUAAAGGGUCCGUAGGCGGCUGGAAAAGUUGGAUGGGAAAUCCACCGGUUUAACGGGGGAACUGCAUUCAAAACUUUCGGGCUCGAGUGUGAUAGGGGUAAAGGGAAUUCCCGGUGUAAGGGUGAAAUCUGCAGAGAUCGGGAGGAACACCAGUCGCGAAGGCGCUUUACUGGAUCACUACUGACGCUGAGGGACGAAAGCCAGGGGAGCAAACGG
rnacentral:rRNA from 1 species